rnacentral:lncRNA from 1 species
UGUCAGGCCUCUGAGCCCAGGCCAGGCCAUCGCACCCCCUGUGACUUGCACGUAUACAUCCAGACGGCCUGAAGUAACUGAAGAUCCACAAAAGAAGUAAAAACAGCCUUAACUGAUGACAUUCCACCAUUGUGAUUUGUUCCUGCCCCACCCUAACUGAUCAAUGUACUUUGUAAUAUCCCCCACCCUUAAGGUACUUUGUAGUCUCCCCCACCCUUAAGAAGGUUCUUUGUAAUUCUCCCCACCCUUGAGAAUGUACUUUGUGAGAUCCACCCCUGCCCACCAGAGAACAACCCCCUUUGACUGUAAUUUUCCAUUACCUUCCCAAAUCCUAUAAAAUGGCCCCACCCCUAUCUCCCUUCGCUGACUGUCUUUUCGGACUCAGCCUGCCUGCACCCAGGUGAAAUAAACAGCCAUGUUGCUCACACAAAGCCUGUUUGGUGGUCUCUUCACACGGACGCACAUGAAAGAGCCAUGAUCGUGCCACCUCACUCCAGACUGGGUGACAGAGUGAGACCCUGUCUCCAAAAAAAAAAAAAAAUUGCCCUUCAUGAAGCAGUAAAAAGUAUGUUUUAAUAAAUCUUUAAUUUUGUUUAUUUGUUUGUUUAUUUUUGAGACAGAGUCUUGCUUUGUUGCCCAGGCUGGAGUGCAGUGGCGCCAUCUCAGCUCACGGUAACCUCUGCCUCCCAGGUUCACGCAAUUCUCCUGCCUCAGUCUCCCAAGUAGCUGGGAUUACAGGCGCCCACCACCACACUUGGCUAAUUUUUGUAUUUUCUGUAGAGACACGGUUUCACUAUGUUGGCCAGGCUGGUCUUGAACUCCUAACCUCAGGUGAUCUGCCCGCCUCGGCCUCCCAAAGUGCUGGGAUUACAGGUAUAAGCCACUGCACCUGGCCUGUUUUAAUAAAUCGUGAUCCCUGUGUACACAUCUUUUAAGUACUCUGUGUGGUGAAAUGGGAAAUGCAGUACAAAGCAGUUGAGCUACUGAAUUGUGAGCUGAACUAGCUGCUUUUUUUCAAGGAAUACCACUUAAAUUUAUCUAUCUAUUUUUAGAGACAAGGUCUUGUUCUAUUGCUCAGGCUGGAGGGCAAUAGUGCAAUCAUAGCUCACUGCAGCCUCAACCUCCCAGGAUCAAGUGAUCCUCCACCUCAGCUUCCUGAGUAGCUGGGGCUACAGGCACACACCACCAUACCCAGCUGUUUUUUUUUUUGAGAUAGAGUCUCGCUCUGUCGCCCAGGCUGGAGUGCAAUGGCACGAUCUCACCUCACUGCAAACUCCACCUCCCAGGUUCAAGCGAUUCUCCUGCCUCAGCCUCCCGAGUAGCUGGGAUUACAGGUGCCUGCCAUGAAGCCCAGCUAAUUUUUUGUUUGUUUGUUUGUUUGUUUUGAGACGGAGUCUCACUCUGUCACCCAGGCUGGAGUGCAAUGGCGCAGUCUCUGCUCACUGCAUCCUCUGCCUCCCAGGUUCAAGUGAUUCUCCUGCCUCAGCCUCCUGAGUAGCUGGGACUACAGGUGUGUGCCACCACACCUGGUUAAUUUUUGUAUUUUUAGUAGAGACAGGUAUUCACCAGGUUGGCCAGGCUGAUCUCGAACUCCUGACCUCAGGUGAUCCACCCACCUCAGCCUCCCAAACUGCUGGGAUUACAGGCAUAAGUCACCACGCCCGGUCCAUACCCAGCUCAUUUUUAAAUUUUUUGUAGAGAUGGGGUCUCACCAUGUUGCCCAGGCUGGUCUCUAACUCCUGGGCUCAAGUGAUCCUCCCACCUCAGCCUCCAAGAGUGUUAGGAUUACAGGCGUGAGCCACUGCGCCCAGGAAGACUUAUUUUUUCUUCCUAUACGAGUCUUUUCUCCUUGUUACCUUUCCCCUAUUAAGUUAGGUGUAUAAGCCCCAAAUUCUAACUAUUCUUUUGAGUUACCACUGAGCACUCCCAUGUGUAUGCAUGUAAAUAAACUCUUUGUUUUGUUUUCUUUAAAAGGCUAGUCAAGCGAAGCAGUGGGAGUGGAGAAGGAACAAAAAUAUCUGUAACUGGUUGUUAUCCAUUGUUGUAAACACCACUGCAUUCGAACCAGCCAAUAAAAUCUUGCCUUUUUC